GUGGGGAAUCUUAGACAAUGGGCGCAAGCCUGAUCUAGCCAUGCCGCGUGAGCGAUGAAGGCCUUAGGGUUGUAAAGCUCUUUCAGGGGGGAAGAUAAUGACGGUACCCCCAGAAGAAGCCCCGGCUAACUCCGUGCCAGCAGCCGCGGUAAUACGGAGGGGGCUAGCGUUGUUCGGAAUUACUGGGCGUAAAGCGCACGUAGGCGGACCAGAAAGUCAGGGGUGAAAUCCCGGGGCUCAACCCCGGAACUGCCUUUGAAACUCCUGGGCUUGAGGUCGAGAGAGGUGAGUGGAAUUCCGAGUGUAGAGGUGAAAUUCGUAGAUAUUCGGAGGAACACCAGUGGCGAAGGCGGCUCACUGGCUCGAUACUGACGCUGAGGUGCGAAAGCGUGGGGAGCAAACAGGAUUAGAAACCCGUGUAGUCC
rnacentral:rRNA from 1 species